rnacentral:rRNA from 1 species
CCUACGGGAGGCAGCAGUGGGGAAUAUUGGGCAAUGGAGGAAACUCUGACCCAGCGACGCCGCGUGCGGGAUGAAGGCCUUCGGGUUGUAAACCGCUUUCAGCAGGGAAGAAGCGAAAGUGACGGUACCUGCAGAAGAAGCACCGGCUAACUAUGUGCCAGCAGCCGCGGUAAUACAUAGGGUGCAAGCGUUGUCCGGAAUUAUUGGGCGUAAAGAGCUCGUAGGUGGUUCGUCACGUCGGAUGUGAAAAUCUGGGGCUUAACCCCAGACCUGCAUCCGAUACGGGCGAGCUUGAGUAUGGUAGGGGAGUCUGGAAUUCCUGGUGUAGCGGUGGAAUGCGCAGAUAUCAGGAGGAACACCAAUGGCGAAGGCAGGACUCUGGGCCAUUACUGACACUGAGGAGCGAAAGCGUGGGGAGCGAACAGGAUUAGAUACCCUGGUAGUCCACGCCGUAAACGGUGGGCACUAGUUGUGGGGACCUUCCACGGUCUCUGCGACGCAGCUAACGCAUUAAGUGCCCCGCUGGGGAGUACGAUCGCAAGNUUAAAACNCAAAGGAAUUGACGGCNGAGAGNGCGACGACGACGACGAGGGAGAGG